rnacentral:rRNA from 1 species
AAUCGAACCCGGAGAUAGCUGGUUCUCCUCGAAAUAGCUUUAGGGCUAGCCUCAUACAAGUCUUGCGGAGGUAGAGCACUGAAUUUCCUAGGGGGCGUCAAAGCUUACCGAAGAAUAUCAAACUCCGAAUGCCGUGUAGAUGUUGUAUGGGAGUCAGACUGUACGAGAUAAGUUGGACAGUCAAAAGGGAAAGAGCCCAGACCGCCGGCUAAGGUCCCAAAGUGGGUGUUAAGUGGAAAAGGAUGUGGGAUCUCUAAGACAACCAGGAUGUUGGCUCAGAAGCAGCCAUUCAUUAAAAGAGUGCGUAACAGCUCACUGGUCGAGAGGUCCUGCGCCGAAAAUGUCCGGGGCUGAAACACCACACCGAAGCCGCGGAACUCGUAAGAGUUGGUAGAGGAGCAUUCUUAGGGGAGGGAAGCAUUACCGGAAGGGGAUGUGGACUGCUAAGAAGAGAGAAUGCCGGAAUGAGUAGCGAGAGCAAGGUGGGAAUCCUUGCGGCCGAAUAUCCAAGGUUUCCAGAGUAAAGCUGAUCUGCUCUGGGUAAGUCGGGGCCUAAGGAGAGGCAGAGAUGCGUAUCCGAUGGACAGCAGGUAAAAGAUUCCUGCACCCCUUGUUAUCAGAACUGCGGGGACACGGGAAGGGAAGCAGAGCCGGGAAUGGAAAGCCCGGUGCAAGCGAAGUAGUCGCAGGAUUGGAAAAUCCGUCCUGCAUAAGACGAAGGCGUGAUGCGGAGCGAAACAAAGUAGCGAAGCUGCGGCCCCUUCCUGUCGAGAAAAGCCGCUAUCGUGUAGCAAGGGCCCGUACCGUAAACCGACACAGGUGGAUGAGGAGAGGAUCCUAAGGCCGGCGGGAGAAGUGUUGUUAAGGAACUCGGCAAAAUGACUCCGUAACUUCGGGAGAAGGAGUGCUGCGCAAGCAGCCGCAGAGAAAUGGCCCAAGCAACUGUUUAGCAAAAACACAGGUCUAUGCGAAACCGAAAGGUGAGGUAUAUGGGCUGACGCCUGCCCGGUGCUGGAAGGUUAAGGGGAGAGGUUAGCGCAAGCGAAGCUUUGAACUUAAGCCCCAGUAAACGGCGGCCGUAACUAUAACGGUCCUAAGGUAGCGAAAUUCCUUGUCGGGUAAGUUCCGACCCGCACGAAAGGCGUAAUGAUUUGGGCACUGUCUCAACAAUGCACCCGGUGAAAUUGAAAUACCAGUGAAGAUGCUGGUUACCCGCGCCAGGACGGAAAGACCCCAUGGAGCUUUACUCCAGCCUGAUACUGGGAUUCGGUAUUGCAUGUACAGGAUAGGUGGGAGGCUAAGAACUUAUGGCGCCAGCCGUAAGGGAGCCGAUGUUGGGAUACCACCCCUGCAGUACUGGGUUUCUAACCUGCGCCCGUGACCCGGGCGGGGGACAAUGUCAGGCGGGGAGUUUGACUGGGGCGGUCGCCUCCGAAAGGGUAUCGGAGGCGCUCAAAGGUUCCCUCAGAAUGGACGGAAACCAUUCGAAGAGUGCAAAGGCAGAAGGGAGCUUGACUGCGACACCGACGG